AAUCCCAAUUCCUGCUUCUACACUUACUUAGCAGUUAGCAUUUUAAAAGUGAUACUCCCUCCGCGCGAAUAACAAAUAAACCCUCAAAAUACACAAACCUCUUCAGAUGCACAGCCGUGUCUUCACACCGAUUCUUUACUAUCUAUUUUCUUCUAGUUUCUCUGUACUCCUCCAUCUCUUUCACUUUCUCGUACUCCUCCGUCUCUUCCGCUUUCUUUGUACUUCUCCAUAUCUUUAAGACCUCUCUUCCUUCUUAUUUUUACACCCAUGACCUGUUUGAAAAAAUGCUAUACAUGGCACCCGGAAUCAACAAUGUCGGCACAUGAUGUCUAAGCAGGGGUUGAAUCCGUUGUUCCCAAUGGAGGAUAUUGAAGUAAUGGGCAUUUGAAAUGGCAGGCUCAAACAAACUACAGAAGUUGUUUUCUCUUUCAAGCCUCAUGACUUUAAAGGAUUCUCCUUCCGUUUCUUAAAGCAUUUGCAGGGUGAUGAUAUGCACCUUUUAUGAGUUUGAAAUAGAUUUUUACUUUUUCCUUGUGCAGGGAGAAAAUAAGGUAUAGAAACAAAGGGAAAUCCUUUUUCCUGCAAGAUUCAUUCAACAAGAUGAUGUGGGUCGAUGUGGAUUAACAAAUGGCGCUUGAGUCCGAGUUCUUUACAGUGUGCAUUAUUCACUUGUAUCAAAGCUUUUCAGUAUGGUUUCCAUAUUUUGAUCAACUUGAAAAUUCAUAUCAGAAGAGUAUGAUAGUAAUAAGCGACAGAGACUGCAAAAAAUAUAGAAAGUUGUCCUCAACUUUUAGUUAGAGGAUGGAGAUGAACUUCCUAAGUUGGACAUUCAAUUGAGCCUCUUUACAAGCUAAAUCUUUAGCGACAGAAUCUUGAGGGAAGACAACCUCUUCAAGAAAUGGUUCUGUUCUUGGAAUUUUUCAUGAAAAUAUCUUUUUGUCUAGGAAUAGAAAGAGUAGGAGAUGAGUAAGAGGACUAAGAGAUUUGGAGACUCCUUAAGAAUAGUCAGAUUUGACAUAGAUGAUGAAGACUUCAGUAAGAGCCGGAGAUACCUCAAAAUGAAAUGUUGAACUCUUCAGCGAUCACAUAAGAGACGCAAUGACUGUUACUCUUUUUUGCAGUAACCUACUUCCAUUGUUUCGUUGCUGAAAUAGUCUAAAGUUUUGAACUUUAGAUUUAUUUCUUUUAUGAG